rnacentral:rRNA from 1 species
AAUGAACGUUGGCGGCGUGGAUUAGGCAUGCAAGUCGUACGGAUCGGGGUAGCAAUACUCCGAUUAGUGGCGCAAGGGACAGUAAUGUGUAGAUACCUACCCUCGGGUUCGGGAUAGCUGCGGGAAACUGCGGGUAAUACCGAAUGACAUCUCCGGAUCAAAGGUGUGAUUCCGCCCGUGGAUGGGUCUGCAUCCUAUUAGCUAGUUGGUAAGGUAACGGCUUACCAAGGCAUUGAUGGGUAGCAGGUGUGAAAGCACGACCGGCGUCAUUGGGACUGAGACACGGCCCAGACACCGACGGGUGGCUGCAGUCGAGAAUCUUCGGCAAUGUGCGCAAGCCUGACCGAGCGACGCCGCGUGCGGGAUGAAGGCCUUCGGGUUGUAAACCGCUGUCAGAGGGGAGGAAAUGCCGGCGGGUACUCUCGUCGGUUUGACCUAUCCUCAGAGGAAGUACGGGCUAAGUUCGUGCCAGCCGCCGCGGUAACAC